rnacentral:rRNA from 1 species
GCACCUACCGAUUGAAUGGUCCGGUGAAGCCUCGGGAUUGUGGCGAGUUCCCUUCAUUGGGAGUUUGUCGCGAGAACUUGUCUAAACCUUAUCAUUUAGAGGAAGGUGAAGUCGUAACAAGGUUUCCGUAGGUGAACCUGCGGAAGGAUCAUUA